UACGUAGGGUGCGAGCGUUAAUCGGAAUUACUGGGCGUAAAGCGUGCGCAGGCGGUUUUGUAAGCCAGAUGUGAAAGCCCCGGGCUUAACCUGGGAAUGGCAUUUGGGACUGCAAGGCUGGAGUGUGGCAGAGGAGACUGGAAUUCCUGGUGUAGCGGUGAAAUGCGCAGAUAUCAGGAGGAACACCGGUGGCGAAGGCGGCAUCCUGGACCAAUUCUGACACUGAGGAGCGAAAGCCAGGGGAGCAAACGGG
rnacentral:rRNA from 1 species